rnacentral:rRNA from 1 species
GACGAACGCUGGCGGCGUGCUUAACACAUGCAAGUCGAACGAAGUGGCGAACGGGUGAGUAAUGCGUAAUCAACCUGCACUUCAGAGGGGGUAAAUAGUGGGAAACGACUGCUAAUACCGAAUAAGGAAGGAGGGGAUUGCGUCUGAUGAGCUAGUUGGGGGGGUAACGGCCAACCAAGGAGAUGAUCAGUAGCCGGUCUGAGAGGAUGAACGGCCACAUUGGGACUGAGACACGGCCCAGACUCCUACGGGAGGCAGCAGUGGGGAAUCUUCCGCAAUGGACGAAAGUCUGACCGAGCAACGCCGCGUGAGUGAAGAAGGUUUUCGGAUCGUAAAACUCUGUUGUUAGAGAAGCGGUAUCUAACCAGAAAGCCACGGCUAACUACGUGCCAGCAGCCGCGGUAAUAC